rnacentral:rRNA from 1 species
GACGAACGCUGGCGGCGUGCCUAAUACAUGCAAGUUGAGCGCUGAAGGUUGGUGCUUGUUCCAACUGGAUGAGCAGCGAACGGGUGAGUAACGCGUGGGUAAUCUGCCUUUGAGCGGGGGACAACUUUUGGAAACGAAUGCUAAUACCGCAUAAUAACUUUAAACACAAGUUUCAAGAUUGAAAGAUGCAAUUGCAUCACUCAAAGAUGAUCCCGCGUUGUAUUAGCUAGUUGGUGAGGUAAAGGCCCACCAAGGCGAUGAUACAUAGCCGACCUGAGAGGGGGGUCGGCCACAAUGGGAAUGGGACACGGCCCAAACUCCUACGGGGGGGAGCAGUAGGGAAUCUUCGGCAAUGGGCGGAAAUCUGACCGGGCAACGCCGCGGGGGGGAAGAAGGUUUUCGGAUCGUAAAAAUCUGUUGGUAGGGAAGAACGUUGGUGAGAGUGGAAAGCUCAUGCAGUGACGGUAACUACACAGAAAGGGACGGCUAACUACGUG